rnacentral:rRNA from 1 species
UACGUAGGGGGCGAGCGUUAUCCAGAUUUACUGGGCGUAAAGCGCGUGUAGGCGGCUGGUUAGGUGUGAUGUGAAAUCCUCGGGCUCAACCCGAGAACUGCAUUGCAAACCGGCCUGGCUAGAGUGCAGGAGAGGGAAGCGGAAUUCCAGGUGUAGCGGUGAAAUGCGUAGAUAUCUGGAGGAACACCGGCGGUGUAGACGGCUUUCUGGACCGUAGCUGACGCUGAGACACGAAAGCGUGGGUAGCAAACAGG